rnacentral:rRNA from 1 species
CCUACGGGAGGCAGCAGUGGGGGAUCUUGCACCAUGGGGGAAACCCUGAUGCAGCGACGCCGCGUGUGGGAAGACGGUCCUCUGGAUUGUAAACCACUGUCCCCAGGGACGAAGAUGACGGUACCUGGGGCGGAAGCUCCGGCGAACUACGUGCCAGCAGCCGCGGUAAUACGUAGGGAGCGAGCGUUGGCCGGAAUUACUGGGUGUAAAGGGAGCGUAGGCGGGGAUGCAAGUUGGGUGUCAAAACUACCGGCUCAACUGGUAGUCGCACUCAAAACUGCAGCUCGUGAGUGAAGUAGAGGCAGGCGGAAGUCCUGGGGUGGCGGUGAAAUGCGUAGAGAUUAGGAGGAACACCAGUGGCGAAGGCGGCCUGCUGGGCUUUUACUGACGCUGAGGCUCGAAAGUGUGGGGAGCAAACAGGAUUAGAUACCCCUGGAGUC